AGCGAACGCUGGCGGCGUGCUUAACACAUGCAAGUCGAGCGAAGGUGUUUCAAGGGUAACCUUGAGAUACACUUAGCGGCGGACGGGUGAGUAAUACGUGGAUAACUUACCUCUAGGCCUGGGAUAACCCCGGGAACGUGGGCGUAAUACCUGAUAAGACCACAUUGCCUACGGACAAAGGGGUAAAAGGUGGCUGUGCAAACAGCUAUCGCCAAAAGAUAGGUUCACGUCCCAUCAGGCAGUUGGUGAGGUAAUGGCUCACCAAACCAAAGACGGGUAGCCGGCCUUGGC
rnacentral:rRNA from 1 species